ACCAAACAGCUAGCUUAUCCACCAACACAACUAAACAACAUAAAUAAAAUAAAAUUAACCACACACCAUAAAAUAAAUCAUUCUUUUACCUGAGUAUGGGAGACAGAAAAGGUUUAACCCAAAGCAAUAGAAACAGUACCGUAAGGGAAAGCUGAAAGAGAAAUGAAAUAACCUAUAUAAGCACUAAAAAACAAAGACUAAACCUUGUACCUUUUGCAUCAUGAUUUAGCUAGUAAAUAUCAAGCAAAGAGACCUUUAGUUUGAUACCCCGAAACCAAGUGAGCUACCCCGAGACAACUAUUAGAGCCAACCCGUCUCUGUGGCAAAAGAGUGGGAAGAACUCCGGGUAGAAGUGACAGACCUACCGAACUUGGUGAUAGCUGGUUACCUAGGAAACGAAUAGAAGUUCAGCCUCAUAUACCCUUAAACCAAAUAAUAUACCUCAAUUAAGAUAUUAAAGAUAUAUAUGAGAGUUAGUUAAAGGGGGUACAGCCCCUUUAACAAAGGAUACAACCUUAUUUAGAAGGAUAAAGAUCAUAGUACAUAAAAUAUACUGUUCUAGUGGGCCUAAAAGCAGCCAUCUAAACAGAAAGCGUUAAAGCUCAGACAGAAAUAAAUUUAUUAUUCCGAUAAAAUAUCUCAUUCCCCUAAAAACUACUAGGCUAAUCCAUGCCCACAUGGAAGAAAUCAUGCUAAAAUGAGUAACAAGAAGGACCACCCUUCUCCUAAGCAUAAGUGUAAACCAAACCGGACCAACCAUUGGUAAUCAACGAACUCAACUCAAAGAGAGUAGUGUGACAUAUAAUAAAAUACAAGAAAAAUACACAACCAAUAAUCGUUAACCCCACACUGGAGUGCUAUCUUAAAGGAAAGACUAAAAGAAAAGGAAGGAACUCGGCAAAUACUAAGCCUCGCCUGUUUACCAAAAACAUCGCCUCCUGGAACAACUAAAUAUAGGAGGUCCAGCCUGCCCAGUGACUACAAGUUCAACGGCCGCGGUAUUUUGACCGUGCAAAGGUAGCGCAAUCACUUGUCUUUUAAAUAGAGACCUGUAUGAAUGGCUAAACGAGGGCUUAACUGUCUCCCAUUUCCAGUCAGUGAAAUUGAUCUGCCCGUGCAGAAGCGGACAUAAUAAUACAAGACGAGAAGACCCUUUGGAGCUUAAGGUACAAAAUACAACCACGCCAAACGACUCAUUAAAAAGCAAAAACUUCGUGGAAUAUGUAACUUUACCUUCGGUUGGGGCGACCACGGAGGAUAAACAAGCCUCCAAGUGGACUGGGAUAAAUUUUCCUAAAACCAAGAGAGACAUCUCUAAGCCACAGAACAUCUGACCAAAUAUGAUCCGGCCACUAAAGGCCGAUCAACGAACCAAGUUACCCUAGGGAUAACAGCGCAAUCCUCUCCCAGAGUCCAUAUCGACGAGGGGGUUUACGACCUCGAUGUUGGAUCAGGACAUCCUAAUGGUGCAGCCGCUAUUAAGGGUUCGUUUGUUCAACGAUUAAAGUCCUACGUGAUCUGAGUUCAGACCGGAGCAAUCCAGGUCAGUUUCUAUCUGUAACGCCACUUUUCCUAGUACGAAAGGAUCGGAAAAGAGGGGCCCAUGCCAAAAGCACGCCCCACCCCUAAUUUACGAAAACAAAUAAAUAAAGCAACGGGAGAGCCAAAACCCCAGUUAGCCAAAAUAAGGACAU
rnacentral:rRNA from 1 species